rnacentral:tRNA from 1 species
UCCCUGGUGGCUCAGAGGUUAAAGUGUCUGCCUCCAAUGCAGGAGACCUGGGUUUGAUCCCUGGGUCGGGAA